UGGGGAAUAUUGCGCAAUGGGCGCAAGCCUGAUGCAGCCAUGCCGCGUGUAUGAAGAAGGCCUUCGGGUUGUAAAGUACUUUCAGCGAGGAGGAAGGCGUUGUGGUUAAUAACCGCAGCGAUUGACGUUACUCGCAGAAGAAGCACCGGCUAACUCCGUGCCAGCAGCCGCGGUAAUACGGAGGGUGCAAGCGUUAAUUGGAAUUACUGGGCGUAAAGCGCACGCAGGCGGUCUGUCAAGUCGGAUGUGAAAUCCCCGGGCUCAACCUGGGAACUGCAUCCGAAACUGGCAGGCUAGAGUCUUGUAGAGGGGGGUAGAAUUCCAGGUGUAGCGGUGAAAUGCGUAGAGAUCUGGAGGAAUACCGGUGGCGAAGGCGGCCCCCUGGACAAAGACUGACGCUCAGGUGCGAAAGCGUGGGGAGCAAACA
rnacentral:rRNA from 1 species